AGAGUUUGAUCCUGGCUCAGAGUGAACGCUGGCGGCGUGCCUAAUACAUGCAAGUCGAACGAUGAAAUUUCUAGCUUGCUAGAAAUGGAUUAGUGGCGCACGGGUGAGUAACGCAUAGGUUAUGUGCCUCUUAGUUUGGGAUAGCCAUUGGAAACGAUGAUUAAUACCAGAUACUCCCUACGGGGGAAAGAUUUAUCGCUAAGAGAUCAGCCUAUGUCCUAUCAGCUUGUUGGUAAGGUAAUGGCUUACCAAGGCUAUGACGGGUAUCCGGCCUGAGAGGGUGAACGGACACACUGGAACUGAGACACGGUCCAGACUCCUACGGGAGGCAGCAGUAGGGAAUAUUGCUCAAUGGGGGAAACCCUGAAGCAGCAACGCCGCGUGGAGGAUGAAGGUUUUAGGAUUGUAAACUCCUUUUGUUAGAGAAGAUAAUGACGGUAUCUAACGAAUAAGCACCGGCUAACUCCGUGCCAGCAGCCGCGGUAAUACGGAGGGUGCAAGCGUUACUCGGAAUCACUGGGCGUAAAGAGCGCGUAGGCGGGAUAGUCAGUCAGGUGUGAAAUCCUAUGGCUUAACCAUAGAACUGCAUUUGAAACUACUAUUCUAGAGUGUGGGAGAGGUAGGUGGAAUUCUUGGUGUAGGGGUAAAAUCCGUAGAGAUCAAGAGGAAUACUCAUUGCGAAGGCGACCUGCUGGAACAUUACUGACGCUGAUUGCGCGAAAGCGUGGGGAGCAAACAGGAUUAGAUACCCUGGUAGUCCACGCCCUAAACGAUGGAUGCUAGUUGUUGGAGGGCUUAGUCUCUCCAGUAAUGCAGCUAACGCAUUAAGCAUCCCGCCUGGGGAGUACGGUCGCAAGAUUAAAACUCAAAGGAAUAGACGGGGACCCGCACAAGUGGUGGAGCAUGUGGUUUAAUUCGAAGAUACACGAAGAACCUUACCUAGGCUUGACAUUGAGAGAAUCCGCUAGAAAUAGUGGAGUGUCUAGCUUGCUAGACCUUGAAAACAGGUGCUGCACGGCUGUCGUCAGCUCGUGUCGUGAGAUGUUGGGUUAAGUCCCGCAACGAGCGCAACCCCCUUUCUUAGUUGCUAACAGGUCAUGCUGAGAACUCUAAGGAUACUGCCUCCGUAAGGAGGAGGAAGGUGGGGACGACGUCAAGUCAUCAUGGCCCUUACGCCUAGGGCUACACACGUGCUACAAUGGGGUGCACAAAGAGAAGCAAUACUGCGAAGUGGAGCCAAUCUUCAAAACACCUCUCAGUUCGGAUUGUAGGCUGCAACUCGCCUGCAUGAAGCUGGAAUCGCUAGUAAUCGCAAAUCAGCCAUGUUGCGGUGAAUACGUUCCCGGGUCUUGUACUCACCGCCCGUCACACCAUGGGAGUUGUGUUUGCCUUAAGUCAGGAUGCUAAAUUAGCUACUGCCCACGGCACACACAGCGACUGGGGUGAAGUCGUAACAAGGUAACCGUAGGUGAACCUGCGGUUG
rnacentral:rRNA from 1 species